UCUUUUGUAGAAUAUUGCAAAGCAAAGGUAGUGUUUCAGACCCUAACUCUAACUUAUUUUUCAUUUUCUUUGUUUUAGGACCAGUCUCAAGGCCAAUUCACUGUUUUUUUCUGGAUUGACUGGAGAUUCUGAAGGCCAAGGCUAUUUCCCUCUUUCCAGUAACGUAUUUAAAUUGAUUUGAAAAUGCCUCCAAAAGGUAGGAAAACUAUAAAUUCGAGGAAAUGAUCAUUCGCCUCAAAAAAUAAUAAAAAACGAAAAACCGCUAAAAAUUCCGCUUCAAAUUCUCAGGGAUUGCAGGAAAAUAAUUUUGUUGACAUUGAAGUUGAGGUGGGUGAAGGUUUUAUUGAACUUGGUGAAAUGAUCACAGAAGCAAAUCAAAAUCUUCCAUUAGAGAUUAAAGUAUUGUCGUCAAGUAUUCAAGAUCCAAUAUUUAACCUGCAUCCCGUAUUGUCGUCAAAUACGCAAGCUCCUAUAUUAAACCUUCAUUAUAAAGAGACACCAUCUGCCCAACAACUAGUGAAUUUUGAAAAAGACCCAUUAGUUGCUUUAUUAGCUUUGGCUGUAAAUUCUGGACAAAACAAAUUUUCCGCGUCAGCUAAGCUUUAUGGGUCUACUCCGGAAGAAGAAAGAAAUUUACUUGAAGAACAGAAACGUGAAAUUGAAGGGAAUUUUGACAUUCAUGAUCGCGGUAGAAUCAUCGAUGAAUUUCAGCAGUGUUUUGACAAAGACUCCCUUCUUUUGGGCUGUGCUUGUUGCGGAAUUAGAGCUUUCCAAAUGAACAAAAUGCUCUACCAUCCAGUUCCUGUCACUGAAUUAGAUUUGCUUAAAUUAAACGAAGAACGUCAAUUGUUGUUUUACGCAAUACCCCACCCAUAUCAGCUAUCUGUUAGCGUAUACCUUUCGAGUUCAGGUUUUCUUUCACCUAACCUUACCUAACCAUAGUUCCGUCAAUUAAUUUUGGGCUUUGAAUUGGUUAUUUGUUUCAACAGGUAAACUUUAUCAUCUUCAUCCUGAACUGGUAAAAGACGGUAUUGCUUCACUUUGUUCUACUUGUCACCGAAAUAUCACAAGUAGUAAACCGAAAAUUCCAAAACUCUGUAUCGCUGCUGGUAUUGACUUUGGUCAUCCUGGUCGAUUAGGACUUCCGCAGUUAACUCUUUCAGAAGAACUUCUUUUUUGCCGCAGUCGUCAAUAUGUCUCAAUUUUGAAACUUGUCGGAUAUAAUACUUCCGAACGACAAAAAGCAAAAAAAGGUCACGUGAUUACGUACCCCCAACCAGAUGGCACUACAAAAUUGGCGGAACUUCAGAGAUUGAAUUCAAAUUUUGAUGGAAGAGAGUAUCCUCGAACGGAAAAUUUCGGUGAAUUUCUCUCGAUUUGUUUGAUCGGUUCUCGACUAAAAUUCGACUCUUUAAUUCCAACUCGUUUCGGAGACGUCAAUGAACUGCGCGUCCGAGUCGAUGUUGUCUAUCUUUGGCUUCAUGCUCUUAAACAUCUCAACCCUUUAUAUCGCAAUGCUUCUAUCAUUGAAACAGAAGCAAUGCAUAUGAAGUUGCAAAACAUUUUGAAGGAUCAUCUGAUGUGCCAACAGAUGAAAUUCGAGAUUCUGAUAAAAAUCCAGACAUGCCAAUGCCCGUUUCUCUCCUAACACUUUUUUUGCCUGUAACUACGGACCAAACACAAUCUGUUAGGAUAGCUUUAAGGGGUCUUUUAGAAACCUUAGAUACAUCUGCAAACGUUAAUGUUCUACAUUCGUUCCAUGGAGAACCCCUAAAUUCCGAAAACGUGAAUGAAGAGAUUGACCAACAUAUAAGCCAGAUUCAUAUCGAGAGUGAAGCUUCACCCUUCAAUGAAUUUGAAGAAAAUGACAGGCUGUUUUAUUCAUCGUUUCCAUUUCUCUUCAUUUUGGGCUGUGGGCUUGAAUCAAGUGUAACUGUGUCUUCAUCUUACGUGAGACACAUGAUGUUUCAAUUUACUGGAAGUUUUUCAUCGUGUAUUCGUCUCAUCUUUGUUCUAUUCGACUAGCUUCAACGUCACGCAGCUUCUCGCGUAAUCGCUUCCAGGGUUAAGUGCAAUCCAAUAUCGUUUGACACUUUUUCCAAGUGGGUUAAUGAUCCAGCAUUUAUUAAUCAGUUGAAAGAAACAGCAAAAGAUCCUAAAUCAA